rnacentral:rRNA from 1 species
AUUGAACGCUGGCGGCAUGCCUUACACAUGCAAGUCGAACGGUAACGGGCCUUCGGGUGCCGACGAGUGGCGAACGGGUGAGUAAUGCAUCGGAACGUACCUUUCAGUGGGGGAUAACGUAGCGAAAGUUACGCUAAUACCGCAUAUUCUGUGAGCAGGAAAGCAGGGGAGCGCAAGACCUUGCGCGGAUUGAGCGGCCGAUGUCAGAUUAGCUAGUUGGUGAGGUAAAGGCUCACCAAGGCGACGAUCUGUAGCGGGUCUGAGAGGAUGAUCCGCCACAUUGGGACUGAGACACGGCCCAGACUCCUACGGGAGGCAGCAGUGGGGAAUUUUGGACAAUGGGGGCAACCCUGAUCCAGCCAUGCCGCGUGAGUGAAGAAGGCCUUCGGGUUGUAAAGCUCUUUCGGCCGGGAAGAAAUCGCACAGGCUAAUACCUUGUGUGGAUGACGGUACCGGAAUAAGAAGCACCGGCUAACUACGUGCCAGCCGCCGCCGUAAGAC